rnacentral:rRNA from 1 species
UACGUAGGGAGCAAGCGUUGUCCGGAAUCAUUGGGCGUAAAGCGCGCGUAGGUGGCUCUGUAAGUCCGUUGUGAAAGUCAAAGGCUCAACCCUUUGAAAGCCGAUGGAUACUGCAGAGCUAGAGUCCGGAAGAGGCGAGUGGAAUUCCUGGUGUAGCGGUGGAAUGCGCAGAUAUCAGGAGGAACACCAAUAGCGAAGGCAGCUCGCUGGGACGGUACUGACACUAAGGCGCGAAAGCGUGGGGAGCGAACAGG